CCUACGGGGAGCAGCAGUGAGGAAUAUUGGUCAAUGGCCGGAAGGCUGAACCAGCCAUGCCGCGUGAAGGUCAGUGCCCUAUGGGCGUUAAACUUCUUUUGUGCGGGAGCAAUAAUGGUCACGUGUGGCCAGACGAGAGUACCGUACGAAUAAGCAUCGGCUAACUCCGUGCCAGCAGCCGCGGUAAUACGGGGGAUGCAAGCGUUAUCCGGAUUUAUUGGGUUUAAAGGGUGCGUAGGCUGUGAGGUAAGUCAGCGGUGAAAUGCCCCCGCGCAACGGGGUGAAGUGCCAUUGAUACUGCCUGGCUGGAAUGCGGAUGCCGUGGGAGGAAUGUGUGGUGUAGCGGUGAAAUGCAUAGAUAUCACACAGAACACCGAUUGCGAAGGCAUCUCACGAAUCCGCGAUUGACGCUGAUGCACGAAAGCGUGGGUAUCAAACAGGAUUAGAUACCCUAGUAGUC
rnacentral:rRNA from 1 species